rnacentral:rRNA from 1 species
UACGUAGGGGGCAAGCGUUGUCCGGAAUCAUUGGGCGUAAAGAGCGUGUAGGCGGACUUAAAGGUCUGGUGUGAAAGCCCGGGGCUCAACCCCGGAGGGUCACUGGAAACCAUAAGUCUUGAAUCUGGAAGAGGAGAGUGGAAUUCCUGGUGUAGCGGUGGAAUGCGCAGAUAUCAGGAGGAACACCAAUGGCGAAGGCAGCUCUCUGGUACAUGAUUGACGCUGAGACGCGAAAGCGUGGGGAGCGAACAGG